CCUACGGGAGGCAGCAGUGGGGAAUAUUGGGCAAUGGGCGCAAGCCUGACCCAGCAACGCCGCGUGAAGGAAGAAGGCUUUAGGGUUGUAAACUUCUUUUCUCAGGGACGAAGCAAGUGACGGUACCUGAGGAAUAAGCCACGGCUAACUACGUGCCAGCAGCCGCGGUAAUACGUAGGUGGCAAGCGUUAUGCGGAUUUACUGGGUGUACAGGGCGUGUAGGCGGGACUGCAAGGCAGAUGUGAAAACUACGGGCUCAACCUGUGGCCUGCAUUUGAAACUGUAGUUCUUGAGUACUGGAGAGGCACGCGGAAUGCGUGGUGUAGCGGUGAAAUGCGUAGAUAUUAGGCGGAACACCAGUGGCGAAGGCGGUCUGCUGGAGAGCAACUGACGCUGAGGCGCGAAAGCGUGGGGAGCGAACAGGAUUAGAUACCCGUGUAGUC
rnacentral:rRNA from 1 species